CGAGCACGCGCGUGUGGCAUAUCAAUAAGCGGAGGAAAAGAAAGCUAACUAAGGAUCCCCUCAGUAACGGCGAGUGAAGCGGGAAGAGCUCAAAUUUGAAAUCUUCAAGGUUCUACCUUGACGAAUUGUAGUUUAUAGAAGUGUUUUCUGUAGUGGAGUUUGGUAAAAGUUCUUUGGAAUAGGACAUCAUAGAGGGUGAGAAUCCCGUAUUUGACCAUUAUUUCCUAGCGUUGUGAUACACUUUCAAAGAGUCGGAUUGUUUGGGAAUGCAGUCCAAAAUGGGUGGUAAAUUUCAUCUAAAGCUAAAUACUGGCGAGAGACCGAUAGCGAACAAGUACCGUGAGGGAAAGAUGAAAAGAACUUUGAAAAGAGAGUUAAACAGUACGUGAAAUUGUCAAAAGGGGAAGCGUUUGACACCAGUGUUGUUUUCUCGAAAAUCAAUUAAAAAUGGUGGGAUGUUGUGUUGUAUUGACUUUAUCAGCUUUCUGCACUUUUUUCCUAUCUUUUUUAAUGCACUUUUCGUUUAACAAGUCAACAUCAAUUUCUUUUGCUGUAAAAGAGUCAUUGGAAGGUGGCUUUCUUUUCGGAGAAAGUGUUUAUAGCCUUUGACUUCUGCAAUCGGAGAGAUUGAGGUCUGCAGCGUAGAUCCUUCGGGGUUAGAUGACAUUUGUGCUAAGUUAUAGCCUUUCAUAGACAACUUGUUGACUAUGAUUUAGUCAUUGUAGCUUACUCGCUUACUGCUAUUUUACCUACGCUUAGGAUGUUGAUGUGAUACUGCGAGCA
rnacentral:rRNA from 1 species